GACGAACGCUGGCGGCGUGCCUAAUACAUGCAAGUAGAACGCUGAAGAGAGGAGCUUGCUCUUCUUGGAUGAGUUGCGAACGGGUGAGUAACGCGUAGGUAACCUGCCUUGUAGCGGGGGAUAACUAUUGGAAACGAUAGCUAAUACCGCAUAACAAUGGAUGACACAUGUCAUUUAUUUGAAAGGGGCAAUUGCUCCACUACAAGAUGGACCUGCGUUGUAUUAGCUAGUAGGUGAGGUAACGGCUCACCUAGGCGACGAUACAUAGCCGACCUGAGAGGUUGAUCGGCCACACGGGGACUGCGACACGGCCCAGACUCCUACGGGAGGCAGCAGUAGGGAAUCUUCGGCAAUGGGGGCAACCCUGACCGAGCAACGCCGCGUGAGUGAAGAAGGUUUUCGGAUCGUAAAGCUCUGUUGUAAGUCAAGAACGAGUGUGAGAGUGGAAAGUUCACACUGUGACGGUAGCUUACCAGAAAGGGACGGCUAACUACGUG
rnacentral:rRNA from 1 species